rnacentral:tRNA from 3 species
UGCCGAGGUGGUGGAAUUGGUAGACACGCAACCUUGAGGUGGUUGUGCCCAUAGGGUGUAGGGGUUCGAGUCCCCUUCUCGGUACCAA